CCCGGGUAUCCCCAUUACUGCUAGCAAUGCGCACGCGGCUGUCUGUUACGUUGAUGUUAAAUCCCCUUUCUUAACCUGGGAACUGCAUUUGACACUGUUAGGGUUUUGUCUCCUACAGGGGGUGAUAAGUCUCAGAGUACCGGCUGAAUGGGUUAAGACGUGGACGAAUACCGUGGGCGAACGGGGGCCCCUGUGCGAAGACUGGCUCUCUUAGAGGACGGCGAGGGGACCUUUCUGGAUUAGAUACCCUGGGACCCCACGCUCAAAAUAUGUCAACUUGGAGCGUGUUCCCUUGAGCCAUGCUUCCGAAUAUCCGGGUUAUCUAACCGCCUGGGGACUAUGGCCGCUUCGUUGGACUCAAAUGAAUUGACGGGGGCCCGCACAAGCGGUGGAUCAUGUGCUUGAAUUCCAUGCAGCGCGGAGAACCUUACCUACUCUUGACAUCCAACCAACUUGGCAGACAUGCCUUGGUGCCUUCUGGAACGCUGAGACCCGUGCUGCAUGCCUGUCGGCAACUCCCGCUGUGAAAUGUUGGGUUAAGGCCCGCACCAACCGGAACCCUUAUCCUUUGUGGUCCCCGAUUCUUCCCGGAACUCAGAGGAGACUGCCGGUGAUAAACCGGAUGAACGUGGGGAUGACGUCAGAUCAUCAUGGCCCUUACGAGUAGGGCUACACACGUGCUCCAUGGCGCAUACUAAGAGAAGCGACCUCGCAAGAGCAUGCGGAGCUCACACAGGGCGUCUUACUCCGGAUCGGACUCUGCAACUCGACUCCGUGAACCCCCAUCGCUACUAUCAUGCUCCAAUGCC
rnacentral:rRNA from 1 species